UAUCGGAACGUGCCCAGUCGUGGGGGAUAACUGCUCGAAAGAGCAGCUAAUACCGCAUACGACCUGAGGGUGAAAGCGGGGGAUCGCAAGACCUCGCGCGAUUGGAGCGGCCGAUAUCAGAUUAGGUAGUUGGUGAGGUAAAGGCUCACCAAGCCGACGAUCUGUAGCUGGUCUGAGAGGACGACCAGCCACACUGGGACUGAGACACGGCCCAGACUCCUACGGGAGGCAGCAGUGGGGAAUUUUGGACAAUGGGCGCAAGCCUGAUCCAGCCAUGCCGCGUGCGGGAAGAAGGCCUUCGGGUUGUAAACCGCUUUUGUCAGGGAAGAAAAGGUUCUGGCUAAUACCUGGGACUCAUGACGGUACCUGAAGAAUAAGCACCGGCUAACUACGUGCCAGCAGCCGCGGUAAUACGUAGGGUGCAAGCGUUAAUCGGAAUUACUGGGCGUAAAGCGUGCGCAGGCGGUUAUGCAAGACAGAGGUGAAAUCCCCGGGCUCAACCUGGGAACUGCCUUUGUGACUGCAUGGCUAGAGUACGGUAGAGGGGGAUGGAAUUCCGCGUGUAGCAGUGAAAUGCGUAGAUAUGCGGAGGAACACCGAUGGCGAAGGCAAUCCCCUGGACCUGUACUGACGCUCA
rnacentral:rRNA from 1 species